AUUGAACGCUGGCGGCAGGCCUAACACAUGCAAGUCGAACGGUAGCACAGAGAGCUUGCUCUCGGGUGACGAGUGGCGGACGGGUGAGUAACGUCUGGGAAACUGCCCGAUGGAGGGGGAUAACUACUGGAAACGGUAGCUAAUACCGCAUAACGUCGCAAGACCAAAGUGGGGGACCUUCGGGCCUCCAACCAUCGGAUGUGCCCAGAUGGGAUUAGCUAGUAGGUGGGGUAAUGGCUCACCUAGGCGACGAUCCCUAGCUGGUCUGAGAGGAUGACCAGCCACACUGGAACUGAGACACGGUCCAGACUCCUACGGGAGGCAGCAGUGGGGAAUAUUGCACAAUGGGCGCAAGCCUGAUGCAGCCAUGCCGCGUGUAUGAAGAAGGCCUUCGGGUUGUAAAGUACUUUCGGCGGGGAGGAAGGCGGUGAAGUUAAUAACUUCACCGAUUGACGUUACCCGCAGAAGAAGCACCGGCUAACUCCGUGCCAGCCGCCGCCGUAA
rnacentral:rRNA from 1 species